CUCGUCGGCUCGUCUCGCUUCCUUCGACUGUACUCUGCUGCGAUCUAUUGUGAUGACCCUUGUUUGCUCGAUGGGCGAUGCUGGUUCAGUUUGUUUCGACUUGCCGUUGUCGCCUACGUCGACGCGUGUGUCUUUCUGUCCUUCGCGUUCAGGUUGUACGAUCUCACCCGUUGUUGCGUCCAUGUUCUGCUCAUUGCUUCGUCUCUGUUUUACUCAUCAAGGUUUGCUGAUCUCCCCUCUGUCUACCUUCCUAUUCUGCUUUCUUUAUGUACUAUCAUGUUGGCUAUCCUACUGGUUGUUUCUGUAUGUACUAUCAUGUUAUCUUAGCCUACUGAUUGUUUGAAUAUAUUUAGCUAUCUUUCUAACAAUAGCCCAUCAAGCUAGCAAUAUUUCAUAAGCAACACUUAUUAUACUAGAGAUUGACGAGUAUGAUAUAAAUAGUUUAAUUAAAUAGCUGCCGUGAUAUGGAAAUUUCAUGUAUUUUCUGUUGCUGUUCAAGAGUAUGCCUGUUAAGAGAUUCAGUUGCCAUGGUUCCCUGGGCAAGAUUUAGUUUUACAUGGAUUAUUCUAGAUAAAUUCAAGUUAUUUGCGUUGGGACACCUAAGCUAACCCUUAUACCUUUCUAUUUAGGAGAUGGCAGCAGUAUAUACAAAAUAUGUCACUAAUUAUUUGUAGAGUUCAUUCUUGAUAGGAACAAAACUGUUAUAGCUGAUGUCAACACGUCAAGGUGAGUUUCACCAAAUCCUUCUUCACUCCUCUCUCCCUCUCUCUCUAACUCUGCAACUCUGCAAGCUUAUGCAGUGUGCUCUGCUCCAAUGAUUUUUAAUUGUUGUAAAUAAAUAUCUAUUUUUCAUUUCCUAUGCUGAAAGGAAUGGUAAUGCUUAUGUUUUACUAUUUGUAAAAUUAACAUACGCCAGUUAGCUUCUUUAGGUGGCUUAUUGUUGAUUUUAUUUUCUUGUCUUCCUCUAUGAAAUUUUUGAAGGACUUGUCAAUCCAAUGGAUUAUGAUGCAUGAUGUUGAAUUAGAUAUGGCUGCCAGUAUGUAGGCCAUCUUGAGUGUCUCAUCUAGAUCAAUGGGAACAAGAAAGUACACAUAUUAGGAAACUGAACUGUGACAACACUUAUUUUCGUCUGGAUGACUGCCAGUAUGCACGAUCUCGAAUUUUUGUCAGAAUAGCGUACCUAAACAGUUGGUUGUUCGUCUAGAUUAAAAACCCAGCUAUAAGAAUGGGUUGACAACAUUGAUUGACUCUACUGGCACUUCAAUGUUGUCUAGAUUCAUCAUUUUUUUGCCAUUUAUUUUCCAGAUGGUAUUUCAGAGGCUUCUUAUUAGGGACUUCCAACUUCUAUACAAAGCAUGAGUGAAUUUAUUGUUUCAAAUAUUGAUUUGUUGAUUACGGACACUAAUUGACACUGUGACCUUGAUGCUUGAUAGAAUUGCAUCAAUGAAUUUCUUCUUUUCUUGUUACUUGCUUUGCUCAAUGUAUAUCUUGGUCUGUUAUUGCGUGACUUUGGAAAUGUAAAACCGAGGCUUUUCGGCCUUGGUAAUUUUGAUUCUUGUCAUGUUCAGGAUUCAGACGGUUUUGAAACCACAUUUAUAGUUUUUAUUUAGGUUUGAGUUGCAUAAUAACAAAAUCGAUGAUUGUUUACUUAUGGAUGGUAAUAUAUUUACUUUCAUCGGUUUUGAAGUUAUAAGAAGGUCACCUUGACAAUUGAUAUUAAGGUUUAGUAGUUCUACUCAUUUUUAUUCUUUAAGAUACUCCUCCAAUGCAAUUUAUUUUCAUCGGCUUUGAAGUUAUAAGAAGGUCACCAUGACAGCUGAUAUUAAGGUUUAGUACUUCUACUCAUUUUUAUUCUUUGAGAUACUCCAAUGCAAUUUUGAUGCAACAUUGGAUAUUUCCACAGCUUUAACCUUAUGCCAAAUUGCUUUUGUCUUAUUUCAGUGUGUUUAUUUGCCAUCUUUAUGUGCUCAGGACCAAAAGAAUUGCUAAUCUUGUAGUUUUAAUGGACGUACAUUCUACAACAUGGUAAAAAAUAAGGGGAGCUUUUAGACGACCUCUAGGUUAUCAUAUGAAAUCCGGUUAAAUUUUAGGAAAGUUUAGGAGUAUCUCUCUUUUUUGUAUAAAUUUGGCUCCACAAUUGCUUAAACAAUAGCUAGGUUCUAGAACAAACCUGCUAUGAAUAAUUGCAUUGUUACUUUAGUGAAAAGUUCCCGGGCAUUCUAUGCGUUCCUCUGGACUUGGUUGAAAGUAUUCCUUUUGUUAUCCAGUUUCUCACUAAGCAUGUUACCUUUGCUGCUGAAUUUUGCCUACAGUUUAUGUAUAUUAGACUCACAUGAUUACUUGAUGGUUGAUGUGGAUUCUACAACUUGGAAAACACAUCUAGGAUAUUCAAGUUGUGUGUGGCGCCCGGGAGAAAGCUUGCUAAUCCUUUCAACCACUUACAUGAGAAUCCAGUGCCGCAGGUGACUCAUUCAUGCAAGAACUGUUGUUAAGUGUUUACUUUUCUCCUUUGAUUCUACAAGCCGCAAAGGAGUGAAGGGUAGAAAAUAUUUCCAUUCUCGUUGAAUUGGUGGGAUUGUCACCAAGUAAGUGCUCUAGAUGUUUAUAUUUUAGAGCAAGAAGCCAAAUCCGCAUGUUCAUUGUAAAUAUUGGAAAACUUGUUGUUUAUUGUCACUUCCAUAUCUGUCAUAAACUUUUG